ensembl:snRNA U6 U6 spliceosomal RNA
GUGUUCUUGCUUUGACAGCACGUAUAGUAAAACUGGAACAAUACAGAGAAAAUUGGCAUGACUCCUACAUACAGAUGACACACAGAUUCGUGAAGUGCUCCAUAUGUUU